AAAACCCUAGGGUUCGGUCCUUCGGAGCUCUCGAAGAGUGAGUUCAUCGUCUUUCGAAUUCAGCUAAGGAAAAAUGAGCCGCUCUAGUCGAACUAUAUAUGUUGGAAAUCUUCCUGGUGAUAUCCGUGAGAGGGAAGUAGAAGAUCUCUUUUACAAGUAUGGACCAGUAAAGCAUAUUGAUUUGAAGAUCCCACCAAGACCACCUGGUUAUGCAUUUGUUGAGUUUGAAGAAGCUCGGGAUGCUGAUGAUGCAAUUCGUGGUCGAGAUGGUUAUGAUUUUGAUGGGCACCGUCUCAGGGUGGAGCUUGCCCAUGGAGGUCGUGGGGAACAUUCAUCUUCAAUGGAACGCUUCAGCGGAAGUCGUGUUAGCCGUGGACUCUCCAGGCGCUCUGAUUUUCGCGUUGUAAUCUCUGGACUUCCUUCAUCAGCCUCUUGGCAGGACCUGAAGGACCACAUGCGCAAAGCAGGAGAUGUCUGUUUCUCCCAAGUUUUCCGUGAUGGCAGAGGAGUCACUGGGAUUGUGGAUUAUACCAACGAUGAUGAUAUGAAAUAUGCUAUAAGAAAGCUUGAUGACUCUGAGUUCCGUAACGCUUUUACCCGGUCUAUAGUCCGUGUCAAGGAAUAUAGAGGCCGGAGUCGAAGCCGUUCAAGGAGCAGAAGCAGCAGCUACUCCAGGGGUCGGAGUCGCAGUGAAAGCCGUAGUAGGAGCAGGAGCAAAUCUCCAAGAGAUAAAACUACUAAGAAGUCACCUGCUAGAUCUCGCACAAGGUCUGCUUCUUCCAGUUCCCGCUCUAGAUCAAAGUCACGCUCUCUUUCAAGAUAUGGAUAUAUGCAGCAUUCUGGAGUUUGCAUAUUAGGAUCUUGAUGGGAUAUGGUUCAAAUGCCUGCAACUCUUUUGGUUGUUAAGAUUGUGGACAAAAGAAAGAGGAUCAUGGAUUGGAUAUGUUAAAGCUGGCUAACUAAAUGCUAUUGGAAUUUUGCGGUGGAAACUAUAUCCUGACAUUGUCUUUUCAAGCUUGUUGGCCCAAUUGACUUCUUAUUUUGGUAGUUAUUCUGUUUUUUUUUCCAACCUACAUACUGGAAACCUUUAUUUUUUUUCCAAUAUAUCAUGGUUUGUAUUAACAAUGCAAUUGGUAGAGGCCUCGAGGCUAUUGGAUCACAGUAAGGAGGACUUGUGGAUAUUAAACUCAGUUGUUUGUGGAACUUUUGCAGAUCCCCAGCAAGACCCAGAUCUCCUUUGCCAACUAAGAAAGAUGUAAGUAAAAGUCCGAUCAAGACCAGAGAAAAAAGCCGGAGCAGGAGCAGGAGCCCAAGCAAAAGCCACUCCAGGUGAGAUUGGUUUGGAUUGGAUUGGAUUGGAUAUGGAUCAAGAUCAGUCAGUCAUACAUCAGAUUAGUGUGAUUGAUACCAAUUUGCUGUUUGGUUAGCAGUUGUAGCUGUGUUAUGAUCUUUCUGACUAUUUUUUGAUGGAUUUGUUGCUUAGCCAUAUUUGGGAUUGUAUACUUGUCUAAAAUUCUACAUUACUUACCUUUCGAACCAUAUGAUCAUAAUAUUGCUUUGCUUCGGCACUGGAUACAAAACUUUUUUAGUUUUUU